GACGUAGGAUGCAAGCGUUGUCCGGAAUUAUUGGGCGUAAAGAGUUCGUAGGCGGUUAUCUAAGUCUGGGGUUAAAGCCCGAAGCUCAACUUCGGCAUGGCAUUGGAAACUGGGUAGCUAGAGUGUGGUAGAGGUCUCGGGAAUUCCUGGUGUAGCGGUGAAAUGCGUAGAUAUCAGGAGGAACACCGGCGGCGAAAGCGCGAGACUGGGCCAUAACUGACGCUGAGGAACGAAAGCCAGGGGAGCGAAAGGG
rnacentral:rRNA from 1 species